AACGAGAACAAGAGUUGUAUGAGAGUUGCAUGAGAGUUGAGAAGCGAGAGUUUGCAUGAGAGUUUUCUCAACUCUCAUGUCCCGGUCAAACAAGAACAAGAGUUGCAUGAGAGUUGAUGAGAGUUGAGAAGCGAGAGUUUACAUCAGAGUUUUCUCAACUCUCAUGGCCGGUCAAACGAGAACAAGAGUUGCAUAUGAGAGUUGACUGGAUAUUACCAGUCAAACGAGCAAAAAUUCUUGUCAAAAUUUGAACCAGUUCAAAGUUGACGAGAGUUAACAGUCAAACGCGACUUUGAUCUGGAGAUAACGCGCGGUGUCAGAUCUGUGUACCUACAUAACUAGGUCUAACUCCUGUAUUCUAAAAGCUCACUCACACUCAAAGAGUCAAGAGUGGAGGUUCAAUCUGAGCCAGUGGCGUGCUGGGUACUAUUUUUCUGGAGGGGCCAGUGGGCUGUCAACCAAUAUGCGCCCCUAUAAUGUUACACUUGAUAAACGAGGGCCGAAGGCACGAGCCGAGUGCCGCAGGUGCGAGGUUUGUCUAGGGGGUCCGGGGGCAUGCCCCCCAGGAAUUUUUGAAUUUAGAGUCUCUGAAAUGCCAUUUCCUGGACUUUGGGGGAAGAUUUGACAGAAAUCUGAUGGUCAGGAAACGGCAUUAUAACGUGUCGAAAUUUACAAUUUGGUUAGAAUUUAGUAGUAGUACUUAAAU